rnacentral:lncRNA from 1 species
GUCUUCAACAGGCUGUCCACUCAGGAGGACCUCAAGCGGACACUCAAGACGCCUUCGGACACCGUGGGCCGUCGCAUCCUGGUGUGGAAAGAGCCAAACUGUGAGUCGUCUGCUUUUGAUACUGU